UACGAAGGGGGCUAGCGUUGCUCGGAAUCACUGGGCGUAAAGCGCACGUAGGCGGAUUGUUAAGUCAGGGGUGAAAUCCUGGAGCUCAACUCCAGAACUGCCUUUGAUACUGGCCGAUCUCGAGUCCGGGAGAGGUGAGUGGAAACUGCGAGUGUAGAGGUGAAAUUCGUAGAUAUUCGCAAGAACACCAGUGGCGAAGGCG
rnacentral:rRNA from 1 species